rnacentral:piRNA from 1 species
UACUACAUUCACAUGGACCACAGACAUAC